UACAAUUCCUCUUUCACUCUUAACCUAAUUCCACAUUUCCACCUGCAAUUCAUCAGAUCCUCAUCAAAUCAUCCGAUCAUUUUACACUUUCUUCGAUUCACGCUAUCAAAUCUCAUGAUUUCACCCGAUCAAACACAUCGGAUUGCAUGAAUUCGGUGAGUACUUCUCGUACUUAUCGAUUCAAUUUCAUUCAUCUAAAAUUAGGUUUUUGUUUGAUGUGUAUAUAUAUCGAUUGUACGUAAAUGCGAGUGAUUUUGGAUAAUAGAUGAUUAGAUAGCUAUACGAUGCAUGCAGAUGAAGAAUUUGUGAUUGAUUGAUCUCCCCCCAUCACGCCGCUAUGCUCCUCUCAUGUACGCUUACAUCAGUUACUUGGAUGCAGUUUGGAUAACUAGAUGUUUAAUAGGUUGAUGUUAUUAGGUUUUUGUGUUAGUUUUGUCAAUUUAUUGACUUUUUUCACUGGAAAAUGCUUUAAUAUUGUAUGAAAUGCUUCAAUAGAGAUUGCAAUUUUAUGAAUUUCAACAUAUGUGUUUCAUAUUUGAUGUUCUAAUUAGUUAUUACUAUUCUACUCACAAAUCAAAAUUGCAGUUCGGAUUCUAAUCACAAAUUAAAAUCCUAGUUCAGAGUUCUAAUCACAAGUUUGCAGUUCUGAGUUUGAGUUCCAGGCAUAGAUUCACAUUUUUGAAUGAUCGAUAUUUUCAAGUUGAAGAGUGAAGAACGAACUUGAUUUGGCAUUGGCGAUGUGAUUAAACAGUGUCGCUUUACAUCGGUCGUGAGGCUAUAAAGGUAUCCAUCCAUAAUAUUGUUAUUAUAUAUAAUAAUAUUAUACUUGUGGAUCUGUUUUCCAUUUAAUGUUUUAAAAGCUAUGGAAAGGAAUUAGUGCAAAAACCACAACUGAAAUCGAUCUUCUUGCGGACAACUGGAAGUAUAUUUUCAUGGGUUGAAUUUGCCAGGUCUAUUCAACUCAACUUCCAUGUCGAAAUUACCUGAUAUUGAUAGAAAUAAUUUUCACCGUUUAGUUAUGGUAAUUUUUUUAAUGUUAUUUUGACACUAAUGUUAAAAAUACAAAAAAAAAAAUGGUGAACAUGAACUUGAAAGUUGUUUUGACCAAGAGGUACCGGUACUUGUACUUCAACUAAAUCCUAAACGAAUCUAAAGUUGGACAUUAAAUAGCAUCUAUGAUUGAUGAAUGAACUUAGAAAUUAAUAUUAUUUGUGAGGUAAUAAGUAGCUUCAGGAUUGGAUUUAUUUGGAAUAUACAUUUGCACUAGCUCAGAAGAUCUUAGACCACUAAGGUAAUCUUUAUUUUUAUGAUUUAAUUGUUUGUUUCACCCGUUUGAUCAGGUUUAGAUAAAUACAGCCAUAAUUGACACUUUUAUAACCAGAUAGCUGGAGUUAAACCAAUGUCCUGCAUAAACAAACUUGUAUUAGCUAAUUUCAUUUGUUCCAGUGUGUUAGGGUCAUAAGCAAACAAAAUAUAUAUUGCAAAUGGGCCUCAGAUUUUACUUUGCUUUGGGAUUCCAAAAUGGUUGAGCUAGACUUGGCUUAUUUGGUUGAUUCCAAUGUUUCUAUCAAGCCAUCUCAUUUAUGUAGCUCUCCUACCUAACUUACAAAGAAAACAAAUAAGCAGUCACUCCUUCAAUAGCAAUUAAGCCUUUGCAACCAGAUCACAAGAAGCAUACGGAUGACGACGGAUCUUGUUCAGUAGCAUCCUCCAAGGACAUGAUUUUUAAGCCAGCUUCUGCAUCGGCCUCAGUGUUCUACUUCUUAAGAGGUAUAUAUCGUGAGAAGCUUUGGAACUUUUUUGUGAAACUGAAAUUCUCACCCAAAAGAACGUUUAGGCUUCUCAUAUAAAGAUUUGGAAUUUGGAAUGUUACUUAUUACACAAUGUUUGGUUAACAUUUGGAAUAUGUUUCGGAUCUAAUUUUUUAUUGAAGUUAUAAUAUGAUUUCUACAUUUACAUUUUUAUGGAA